GGAGAUGAUGAGGAUCUGGCUGUGGCAUCUGUCACCCCAUUGACCACCAGGGUUUCCCAACUGAUCUGGAUGAAGAUUGUCCCCUUCCUCCCUGUUUCCCUGCCAUGUGCAUCCCUCCCAAAGCAGCACACUUAGUUGAAGAGGACAACUUUACCCGAUACUGGAGAACCACUCCUUGGUCAGGGGUUCAGGGAUACCUGCAAACUCUGUUCUCCAUUUGUUGGGGGAACAUAAGUUAGUGAAACUUCUGAGAUUCCAGAUACAUCCAAAUGAGGCACUGCAUUUGGCAAUCUGCUUU
rnacentral:snRNA from 1 species